rnacentral:tRNA from 1 species
GGCUCAAUGGUCUAGUAGUAUGAUUCCUGCUUUGGGUACUUCAAAUGUCUUAAAUGCAGGAGGUCCUGGGUUCAAUUCCCAGUUGAGCCC